UGAGAAUAUUUAGAUUCCCAAAUAUUUUAAGACAUCAAUUUGCCAAUGACCAAGAUUAAGUUUUAAACUAGAAAGUCAACAUUAUUUCUCAAAAUGGAGAAACAUACCCUUGACACAGAAAAAACAAACAUUUUUGGAAACUAUAUUAAUUUAAAUUUUUUUGUUUUUUAAAUACUGGUGAUAUUGGCCUAUAUGUGUUCUAUGUAUGAAACACAUUCAUAUAGCUAUGACUAGUAAAACAGACUGGUAAGUUAGACAUAGUUAAAAGCACCUAUAACUGCUAUUCCUAUGAAAAUCAAUUAUGUGUGAGAAUCGAUAGUUGUUGGAAUUUGGUCCCUUGGUCCAUGUGGCAUGAUUGUCCUGUUUUAUACAUGGUGCUCAUUGCUCUGUGCCAUGUGGCAUCUCAGUGCUGGCCAUCAGUUGCAUUUCUUUGUAUCAUUGCAUCCCAAGUAAUUUAACAUGUUGAUCCUUGUAGUGAUCUUUGAGACCAUUCAGCCUGCAUUUAGCCUGAAAAUGUAAUUACAUGUUAAAUCCUCUGUUCUUCUUACAAUUAAAUUAAAGUAGUACCAUUUGGCAACCAUCUGACUGUAAAUGCACACACCAUGUGGACAUCAAAAUCUCCAGGUCACAUCCAUAUAUAAGCCAUUAUAUAUUUCCACCAGGACUUUAAGAGUAUUGCCCACAACGAAAAAGCCAAUUCAAAAGCUAGUUAUGGGUAAAGUAUGGACCUCCAGACAGUUCAAGGGAUAUUAAUUUGAAAAAUACUGGUCUAGAAUAUCAGUUUAUCUUGGAAACAUCAAUUGGUCUUUAAUUUCACCUUAACCAUGAAGGACUAUUCUCUUAUUUUUCUCUCAAUUAGAGACUCCACUCAGCUAUAUCCACUUUGUAGUGAUUUCAUUUAUAGCAACUUCAAUUUUAUUCUUCAGACACUAGAAAAUUUCUUCAAAUUGUCAAAAGGAAACAAAGCCCCACUUCAAUCAUCUAAGAUUAAUUGAUUAGGGCUGAAAAAUGACUGCUUCUUUGAUAACAUUCUUGCCCUGAAGCAUAAAAACCUGAGUUCCAAUCCCUAAUAUAUCAAUCACGGCACUCUAAAAUAGAAAAACUCAUACAAUUAAUGAAUUAAUGUACAUAUAUGUGAAUAUAUAAAGGGAUAAUAGAAUAAAUAUAUGUACACAUGUGUAUAUCUAUAUGUAUAUGUAUGUCUAUAUAUUUAUUUCUAUAUUUAUAGAUAAAGGGAGAUUUAUUUGAAUAACUUACAGAUUUGGUCCAGUUAAAUCAACCACAAUGGCUGCCUGUGAUGGAAGGUCUAAAAUCUGGUUCAGUCUAGCAGACUGGAUGUGUCAGCUGAUCUUCAGUAUAUUUGGAAUGCUGACCAUCUGGGCUCCAAUACCAGUGAAGGAGUGGACUUGAUAGAAUGGAUGAGAGCAAGCAGGCAAAGAGCAAGGCUUCUAGCUGAAGAUGGGGCCCAGAUUAGAGAUCAAAUAAGCAAGAAGGAAACAUUUGAGGUUGGAAAACCACUACAAAAGUGAACUACUGGCAGGAAAAUAAUGAGAAUGCAUUCUUGGUCGGCUGCAAAUUCUUGAUUUAUGUAAAUCUCCAGCAAUAUAUUCCUCCAAGCACACUAGAAAGGAAGGUAAGCAGACAGAACCUACUGGGUAAUGUUAAAGAAAUUCACAGGCUUGCGUUAGAAAUAGAGGACA
rnacentral:sRNA from 1 species